rnacentral:sRNA from 1 species
UUGUAAUAUUUUUCAAUGGUUGGGUUUUCAUAUUCAGUUGCGUUUUUGACGCUGCACAGUUUGCAUCACGUGAGAAUAAGACACACAAUAAAAAAAAACACACACAAAGAAAUAAUCAAAGAAAAUAAUAAAGAAAAAUAAAAAAGCAAAGCAAAAAAUAAAAAAAAAGAAACGGUAACAGGCCAGUCACAGUCACUCAGUCCGUCAGUUAGUUAGUUACUCAGUGUCGAAGUUAGCCAGACAAAUUGGAAAAAUCUUCUGUUUUGUUGGUUUCUUUGUCCGCCGCCGCCGUUACAGAUCCCCAGCAAUUUCAUUUGGAUUAUCUUUUUUAUGAAUAUUAUUGCUAGCAUUGUUAGUGGUGUCCUCCUUGGUUAUUUUGCAAAGAAAUUCCGCUUAAAAAAACGAAGCAAAUAAAACAAGUGCGCGAGAUAACAGUGAUUUUUUUCGGUUUUACAAAAGCGAUUGGUGUUUUUGUUGUUGGUGUUUUUUUUUUUUUUUUGAAACGGGAACAAACAAGCACACGGUGACAGACAGCGCAUUCGUAUCUUGUGAUCCAAAGAAGAGAGAAACAAAAAAUAAAGCAAAAUCAUCAAAGAAUAACGAAAAGAAAAAAUAUUCACAAAAAAAAAGUGGAAAAUAUCAAAGUGCUAAAAUUGUGAUUUAUAUUUUUAACAAUUCUUUUUGACCACCAUCUCCAAAUCAAAGAAAAUUGCCUAAAAAUUCUCCAACCCAAGCCCAAAAUUGUAAAACAAUAACAAUACACAAAAAAAAUAACAAACAAACAAAUCUUCUCAAUAGCGAGCGAGCGAGUGAGCAGCAGCAACAACAGUUUUGAAAAAAACAACAA